UACCACCCUUUAAUGUUUGAUGUUCUAACGUUGGCCCGUAAUCCGGGUUGCGGACAGUGUCUGGUGGGUAGUUUGACUGGGGCGGUCUCCUCCUAAAGAGUAACGGAGGAGCACGAAGGUUGGCUAAUCCUGGUCGGACAUCAGGAGGUUAGUGCAAUGGCAUAAGCCAGCUUGACUGCGAGCGUGACGGCGCGAGCAGGUGCGAAAGCAGGUCAUAGUGAUCCGGUGGUUCUGAAUGGAAGGGCCAUCGCUCAACGGAUAAAAGGUACUCCGGGGAUAACAGGCUGAUACCGCCCAAGAGUUCAUAUCGACGGCGGUGUUUGGCACCUCGAUGUCGGCUCAUCACAUCCUGGGGCUGAAGUAGGUCCCAAGGGUAUGGCUGUUCGCCAUUUAAAGUGGUACGCGAGCUGGGUUUAGAACGUCGUGAGACAGUUCGGUCCCUAUCUGCCGUGGGCGCUGGAGAACUGAGGGGGGCUGCUCCUAGUACGAGAGGACCGGAGUGGACGCAUCACUGGUGUUCGGGUUGUCAUGCCAAUGGCACUGCCCGGUAGCUAAAUGCGGAAGAGAUAAGUGCUGAAAGCAUCUAAGCACGAAACUUGCCCCGAGAUG
rnacentral:rRNA from 1 species